rnacentral:tRNA from 70 species
GUCGGGAUAGCUCAGCUGGUAGAGCAGAGGACUGAAAAUCCUCGUGUC